rnacentral:tRNA from 1 species
UGGUGGCGUUGACGGGUGCGGCGAUCGUCGUCACCUUGCCGGUGAUCAGUUCCAGCGACGUGUUCUAUUCGCGCACCACCGG